GAUGAACGCUGGCGGCGUGCCUAAUACAUGCAAGUCGAGCGAACAGAUAAGGAGCUUGCUCCUUUGACGUUAGCGGCGGACGGGUGAGUAACACGUGGGUAACCUACCUAUAAGACUGGAAUAACUCCGGGAAACCGGGGCUAAUGCCGGAUAACAUUUAGAACCGCAUGGUUCUAAAGUGAAAGAUGGUUUUGCUAUCACUUAUAGAUGGACCCGCGCCGUAUUAGCUAGUUGGUAAGGUAACGGCUUACCAAGGCAACGAUACGUAGCCGACCUGAGAGGGUGAUCGGCCACACUGGAACUGAGACACGGUCCAGACUCCUACGGGAGGCAGCAGUAGGGAAUCUUCCGCAAAGGGCGAAAGCCUGACGGAGCAACGCCGCGUGAGUGAUGAAGGUCUUCGGAUCGUAAAACUCUGUUAUUAGGGAAGAACAAAUGUGUAAGUAACUGUGCACGUCUUGACGGUACCUAAUCAGAAAGCCACGGCUAACUACGUG
rnacentral:rRNA from 1 species